rnacentral:tmRNA from 1 species
GGGGGUGAUCGGUUUCGACUUCGUCUGUUGUGACGGGAGAAGCGGGCCGAGGAUGCUGGUUAUCUCGCAAACGAUCCAGCAAAAACAAUAAGUGCCAAUACAUCGCGCACUGACUUCGCCCUCGCUGCCUAAGCGAGCCUGAAGUCCGUCAGCCCGGGGCUGUUCCCGACCCGGUUCCUGGCGUCAGUAAGGGGACUUACCGCGACGCCCGGCCACGGGGUAGCGCGGAAAAUCACACAGUGACUGAGCCCGUCGACAGCUUGUCUGCGUGACUGUCGGGGCCGAGAAAAUCACAGCAGACUGCGCCCGGAGAAGACCCUGAUCACCAACGAAGGACGCGGGUUCGAUUCCCGCCACCUCCAC